UACGUAGGGCGCAAGCGUUGUCCGGAAUUAUUGGGCGUAAAGAGCUCGUAGGCGGUUUGUCGCGUCUGUCGUGAAAAGCCCACGGCUUAACCGUGGGUCUGCGGUGGAUACGGGCAGACUAGAGGCAGGUAGGGGAGAAUGGAAUUCCCGGUGUAGCGGUGAAAUGCGCAGAUAUCGGGAGGAACACCAGUAGCGAAGGCGACACUCUGGGCCGGUACUGACGCUGAGGAGCGAAAGCGUGGGGAGCAAACAGG
rnacentral:rRNA from 1 species